ACCACAAGGACAAGAGCUGCUCCCUCAUAACAGCAGAGCAGAGUGCUGGAAGAUGUGGCAGGCUGAAAAAACACCCACAAAGAUACAGUCACUUCCUGAUCAUCAAAACCCGUGAAUAUUAUCUCACGUGAAAAACAUGCGAUUAAGGAUUUUGACAGGAGGAGCUUAUCCUAGAUUAUCCUGACAGAUCCUAAAUGAGUUUUGAGAGAGACAGAGACAGACAGAUACAUACAUCCCCAGAAGACAGAUAGAAUGAAGUGCUGUGGCCAAGGAAUGCCAGCAGCCACCAGAAGCCUGUAUGAGGCAAGGGACAGAUUGUCCCAGAGCUUCCAGAGGGCGUAUGGCCCUACUGACACCUUGAUCUUGGACUUCCGGCCUCCAGAGCUGUCAACUGGGUGCACCUAGCCCUGACUUUUAAUUUGAAGUGACCCUAAGCAGUAGGGACAAUGGCAAGUUCUAUUCCAAGAGCUGUCCUCUCCAGCGUUCUAAAACAUUUCUAAGAUUUUUGGAUUGCCAAGCCAUAAUCAGUCUCUGGAAUGGAAUUAAGAAACCUCAACUCUUUAUUUCCUUUCCAAGUGAUUCUUAAGCACACAAAGUUUAAGGAAAAGCUGGACCAUUCUGACUGCACAAAAAUGCUAAAACGUCCAGUAGAAAUUUUUUAUAAAGCUGAAUUUCCAGCACUUUGAACAGUGUCUGGCACAUAGGAGUACAACUAAAAUGUGUUGAAUCUAUGAUGUAAAAAUGGAAUGACAGCAUUUAUUUAGCCACUCUUCUCAUUUCCCACAGAACAAGUACCUCUCUUGCUACUAAAGCAAAGGCAAGACUGCACCUAGGCAAUUCUCCUUAUCCAGGUAGAAGAAACUUUAUAACUACUUUACUCUCUAUGACAUGGAAAGAGCAAAAUUAAAGCCUAGCCUAUACACUU